ensembl:lncRNA
GCCAAUGGCCUUGGAGGGGGUCUGGCAUGAGAGUCAUGCUGACAGGCUGACCCCAUCAGACUCCGCUGUGAGACACGGGGAGGGACACUACAGUAGGGUGAGACCGAAGCAAAGAGCCACAGAGACAAGGCCGCAGACGCUCAAGGCAGGGGAGUAACAGGAGUGGAGACAGGGAAGAGCUGCGUCACCGUCACGAUGGAGAAACCUCGAUUAUCGGGUCUGAUAAUCCCAGAGAAGGACUCGGGAAACGCCGGUAGUCCUGAAGGGAAGGGCCAUGUGCUACUUCUGAAUUUUGCCACUGAAAUGAUUGGGCAUCUGCGAUCGGAUCCCCUCCCUUAAACUAGAACCCGGAUGUGUGGGAAGUCAGUUUUACCGAGUGGAUAGGGUCCAUGUCCUAGGGUCUAGGGAUGAUGAAGCAAGAAGACAGAAGUGACCCUUGGAAGCCCACCUGGACCCUCCCUCCUCAGCACUGUCAUCUGAGAGAAUACACUUCUAUCCUAUUUGAAUCUCUGCAGUUUUGCAUCUCUUUGUUUUGGCAGUUUUAUUUGUAUCCUAACUCUUACAAAAAGCAUGUGUGAAGACUCAAGAAAACAUUUUCAUUGAGAUUUCAUAAAUUCUCAAAGUUCUAAGUCUGCUAACAUUUUAGUUUUGCGUCACCACAUUUUAAUUAUUGACAUUUUUAAAUCAUAUUGUGAGGUUCUAUUAGCUUUAAAGCUUCAUGAAUUUAACUGAAACUGGUAAGGUGGUGCUACUGGUAAAGAACCUGCCUGCCACUGCAGGAGAUGUAAGAGAUGCGGGUUCAAUCCCUGGGACAGGCAGAUCCCCUGGAGGAGGAAAUGGCAACCCACUCCAGUAUUCUUGCCUGGGAAAUCCCAUGGACAGAGAGCCUGGCAGGCUACAGUCCAAAGGGUUGCACAGAGUCAGACAUGACCGAGCGACUUAGCACCAGAAACAGUGCAGGAGAGAUGGAAUUUACUUCAAAACUUUUCACUAGGGAGGCUUCCCUGGUAGCUCAGUAGUAAGGAACCCACCUGCCAAUACAGGAGACAGGGGUGCAAGAGACAUGGGUUUGAUCCCUGAUCCGGGAAGAUCCCAUAUACCAUGGAGCAACUGAGCCCGUGCCCCACAGCUACUGAGCCUGUGCUCUAGAGCCCAGAGCCGCAACUACUGAGCCCAUGGGCUGUGGCUACGGAAGCCAGUGCACCCCAGAGCCCGUGCUCCGCAACCAGAGAAGGCACUGGAAUAAGAAGUCUGCUACCGUGAUUAGAGAGUAGCCCCGCUCACCACAACUAGAGAAAAGUCCUCACAGCAACAAAGACCCAGCACAGCCAGAAAUAAAUAAAUAAAAUUAUUAAAGAAAAAAAACUUUUCAGGUUGGAAGGAAGAGCAAUGUAUUUAGCUGAACUAUUUCAUAACUAUUUUGUAUUAGCAUUACCCAGCCAUGACCGCUGUGAUAAAGAAUGGUCUCCCUUGCCCUUUUGGAAUUAGUGAAAAAUUUCAAGAUCAGAGCUUAGCACAUGAGAGUGAGCACAAGAGACGGUGAGUCUAUGGCAGCUUGAAGCUUACAGGUGUAGAAAUAGUGGUUCUCUAUCACUCCUCAAACAUGUUAAAAUCAGAAAAUAACAAGUCAACAAAGGCCUUCUGGGCCAUGGUUUAGCUCCCAAUCAUUUAAGUAGGGCAGGGUUCUUUUUUUUUUAAUUUAAAGAGUAUGAAAAAUGUGUAUUUUAACCAUGUAUUAAAAAUUGCUAUAUAUACCCAAAGCAAUCUCUAGCUUCAGUGCAAUCCCAAAUCCCAAAGGCAUUUUUCACAGAAAUAGAACAACAAUCCCCAAAUUUGUAUAGAACUACAAAAGAUCCCAAAUAGUGAAAGCAAUUUUGAGAAGAAAGGUCAAAGCUGGAGGUAACACGUUCCUUGGUUUCAAAGUGUAUUACAAAUAUAUACUCAUCAAAACAGUAGGUAAAAACAGACACCUAGGUCAAUGGAAUACAAUAUAGAGCCCAGAAAUAAAUCCACACACAUAUGACACAUUAUUUUAUACCAAAUGAGCCACAAAUAUACAGUGGGAGAAAGUGGGGCUGGGAAACCAGCUAUGUAACCAUAGCCACAUGUAAAAGAAUAAAACUGGACCGCAACCUUAUACCAUGCAUUACACACAUAUGUCUAUGUGUGUGUGGGUGUGUCUUCAGUUCAGCCGCUCAGUCGUGUCCGACUCUUUGCGACCCCAUGUGUAUGUAUAAUGGAAUAUUAUUCAGCCAUAAAAAGAAGAAAAUCUUGCCAUUUGCAACAACAUUCUUGGACCUAGAGGGCAUUAUGCUUUAGGUGAAAUAAGCCAGACAGAGAAAGAGAAAUACCAUAUGAUGUCACUUACAUCUGUAAUCUAAAACAGAACCCCCAAACAAACAAUAAACAGCUAAACUCGUAAAUACAGAGAAGAGAGUAGUAGUUGUCAGAGUUUGGGGUUGGUGAAAUGGACAAAGAGGGUCAAAAGUACAGCCUUCCAGUUAUGAACUAACUAACUCAGGAGGACAUAAUGUACAGCGUGGUGACAACUGUUAACAAUAUCAUAUUGCAUAUUUGAAAGUUGCUAAGGGUACAAAUCUUAAAAUUUCUCAUCACAACACAAAAUACUUUAUAACUACGUAUGGUGAUAGAUGUUAAUUAAACCUGUUGUGUGAUCAUUUCGCAAUAAAUAAAAAUAUUGAAUCAUUAUAUUGUAUACCCCA